AUCCAUGUUGUUUGCUUUCGAAGUCUGUUGCAAUUACAAAAACCUUUAGCGAACAGCAUGGAUCCUGACCAGACUGUGCGGAUGCGCAGGCUGGUCUGGAUCCAUGCUGGUCGCAAAGGCACUAUGUUGGUUUUCUAAUGGCGCGGCUCAUUUUGUCUUUCAUAUGUAAUGCCUAGUUUUUCCUUAAUACACAAACAAUUUGCUACCUGUGUUGGAACCAUACGCAUGUUAAUAUGGGAAAGAAUCGCAUUCCAGUCGUGCUAAGUUAGAAAAAGACGAAUAAUAACUGUUGUUUUUUUGUUGUUGUUAUUUUUCGUGCUGACAGGUAAAUAGAAUCAGUUAAGCAGUAUGUACAACAACUCUAAUUUUGUAGGUAAUCAUUUAGUACAUCACAAGCUAUGUUCAGCUCUAGCUCUUGACCAGCAUAACGUUAUACACAAAAUCCAUUCAAUAGACUGGUAGAUCAAUGUCUUCAAAACCCGAAAGACCGGCUGGAGAAAAGUCAGUGGUUCCACUCAGGUACCUGCACGUGUCUGAAAACAAAAUGCACCGGUGCGCUCAUUACUUCUACUGGUAAUAAGCAGCUGUAAAGUCGCUUUUUUACUAAAAUUGGUUAGGUUUUACGGAAAAUCCAACAAAAAAACAACAACAACAAUAUAUAUUAAUAAACAGAAUUUUGCGACUCAGUGAACCGUCACCUUAAAUGUGCGUCUCAACCUUCUACACAUAUGGAAUUGAGAUUUUGCUCACCUUUUGUUAAUUAAUCAACGGGCCAUUCAUGCACAUAUAGCUUGCGGCUAUGUUCAUUCACAAUUUGGUUCAUUUAGCGCGGGGGUUUCUCUGGUCUACAUGUAUAUGUCAAUACUUGACAAAUAGAAAAAAGGUUUGCACAGUUUUUUUUAUCUUUGUUUAUUUGUUCAUUAAGGUUUCUUUUCAUUUCAUUUAUUGUUCGUGUUGUCAAUUUCUUACCUUUUUUUCUCUCUUUCUAUUAUAUAUGUAUUUUUCUUUCUGUUUUGAUGACUUUUCUCAAGUUUUCACAAUUUUUAGAAGUAAAAAAUAGAACACUUAUAGAAAUCGGAUCGACUAGCCAGCGACGCUGAAUAAAAAGGCAGAAUUACAGAAUCUCAGUUGCAGGUCAAAGAGAAGAUCGAUGUAUGGUGGAUGAUACUGGCAAAAAUAUUGAUGCAUCCAAUGGGAUUUGUCUCAGUCAGUCGUCACUCCGAGGACCGCAGCUCUCCUAUGGUUACUUCUACUGGUACAGCUGACAGACAAUAGAACAUCAGUUUCUUAAGUUAUGUUGAAAGACAUGAUGAUUGUGCAUAAUGAUGAUGGUGGUGAUGAUGAUAGCGAUGAAGAAGAUGAUGAUAGCGAUGAUAACGGUGAUGAUAGCGAUAGUGAUGACGAUGAUGAUGACGACGACGGCCAAUGGCUUGUCCUGGCUCACGUUUGACCAUUAAACACAGAUCGAUGAUGCUUUCCAGUAAACAAGAACGUCUAAAAAAGUCAUGUGGAAAGACAAGAUCAUUGAGAAUAAUGAUGAUGAUAAUGGUGAUGAUGGUGAUGAUGAUAGCGAUUAUGAUGGUGAAGGUAGCGAUGAUUAUGAAACUGAUGAUGGCCCAUUGCUUGUCCUGGCUCACUUUUACCCAUUUAGCACAGAUCUACGAUGUUAACGUCUAAAAGGUAAACUUUGUUUUUUCAUAAAAGAGCAAAAUUAGUGACAUCUUCAAAAAUACAUUUUAUAUUUUCCAUCGUGACUCACCUGAAUGCUUAAAUGGAGGUAAUUGUGAUCGCUUUCUUCCCUUUAUAAGGUUUGUCCCGCGGAUAUAUCAAAGUAGCAAAAUUUCACUCUGUUAGGACAUUAGAUGCCGCACACGUGCAGCAAUCAUAAACAUACCUUAAAACAUAUAUACGCCUGUUCCAAGUACUCAGAUAUAUUAGAUAUUUACAGAAUUAUACAGAAAAUAGAGAGCGAAAGAGUCAAAAUUAAAAUAUUUAACCGUUCGUGUACAGUAUAUGUUCCUCUACCUUAACAUUCAUCAUAGAACUUGUACAUUAUG